UCCCUGGUGGUCCAGUGGGUAAGACUCCCGCUCCCAAUGCAGGAGGCCAAGGUUCGAUCCCUUGUCGGGGAA